GGGGAGCAGCCCAGAGCCUGAAUCAGUGUGUGUGUUAGUGGAAGCGUCUGGAAAGGCGCGCGAUACAGGGUGACAGCCCCGUACACAAAAAUGCACAUGCUGUGAGCUCGAUGAGUAGGGCGGGACACGUGGUAUCCUGUCUGAAUAUGGGGGGACCAUCCUCCAAGGCUAAAUACUCCUGACUGACCGAUAGUGAACCAGUACCGUGAGGGAAAGGCGAAAAGAACCCCGGCGAGGGGAGUGAAAAAGAACCUGAAACCGUGUACGUACAAGCAGUGGGAGCACGCUUAGGCGUGUGACUGCGUACCUUUUGUAUAAUGGGUCAGCGACUUAUAUUCUGUAGCAAGGUUAACCGAAUAGGGGAGCCGAAGGGAAACCGAGUCUUAACUGGGCGUUAAGUUGCAGGGUAUAGACCCGAAACCCGGUGAUCUAGCCAUGGGCAGGUUGAAGGUUGGGUAACACUAACUGGAGGACCGAACCGACUAAUGUUGAAAAAUUAGCGGAUGACUUGUGGCUGGGGGUGAAAGGCCAAUCAAACCGGGAGAUAGCUGGUUCUCCCCGAAAGCUAUUUAGGUAGCGCCUCGUGAAUUCAUCUCCGGGGGUAGAGCACUGUUUCGGCAAGGGGGUCAUCCCGACUUACCAACCCGAUGCAAACUGCGAAUACCGGAGAAUGUUAUCACGGGAGACACACGGCGGGUGCUAACGUCCGUCGUGAAGAGGGAAACAACCCAGACCGCCAGCUAAGGUCCCAAAGUCAUGGUUAAGUGGGAAACGAUGUGGGAAGGCCCAGACAGCCAGGAUGUUGGCUUAGAAGCAGCCAUCAUUUAAAGAAAGCGUAAUAGCUCACUGGUCGAGUCGGCCUGCGCGGAAGAUGUAACGGGGCUAAACCAUGCACCGAAGCUGCGGCAGCGACGCUGAUGCGUUGUUGGGUAGGGGAGCGUUCUGUAAGCCUGUGAAGGUGUGCUGUGAGGCAUGCUGGAGGUAUCAGAAGUGCGAAUGCUGACAUAAGUAACGAUAAAGCGGGUGAAAAGCCCGCUCGCCGGAAGACCAAGGGUUCCUGUCCAACGUUAAUCGGGGCAGGGUGAGUCGACCCCUAAGGCGAGGCCGAAAGGCGUAGUCGAUGGGAAACAGGUUAAUAUUCCUGUACUUGGUGUUACUGCGAAGGGGGGACGGAGAAGGCUAUGUUGGCCGGGCGACGGUUGUCCCGGUUUAAGCGUGUAGGCUGGUUUUCCAGGCAAAUCCGGAAAAUCAAGGCUGAGGCGUGAUGACGAGGCACUACGGUGCUGAAGCAACAAAUGCCCUGCUUCCAGGAAAAGCCUCUAAGCAUCAGGUAACAUCAAAUCGUACCCCAAACCGACACAGGUGGUCAGGUAGAGAAUACCAAGGCGCUUGAGAGAACUCGGGUGAAGGAACUAGGCAAAAUGGUGCCGUAACUUCGGGAGAAGGCACGCUGAUAUGUAGGUGAAGUCCCUCGCGGAUGGAGCUGAAAUCAGUCGAAGAUACCAGCUGGCUGCAACUGUUUAUUAAAAACACAGCACUGUGCAAACACGAAAGUGGACGUAUACGGUGUGACGCCUGCCCGGUGCCGGAAGGUUAAUUGAUGGGGUCAGCGCAAGCGAAGCUCUUGAUCGAAGCCCCGGUAAACGGCGGCCGUAACUAUAACGGUCCUAAGGUAGCGAAAUUCCUUGUCGGGUAAGUUCCGACCUGCACGAAUGGCGUAAUGAUGGCCAGGCUGUCUCCACCCGAGACUCAGUGAAAUUGAACUCGCUGUGAAGAUGCAGUGUACCCGCGGCAAGACGGAAAGACCCCGUGAACCUUUACUAUAGCUUGACACUGAACAUUGAGCCUUGAUGUGUAGGAUAGGUGGGAGGCUUUGAAGUGUGGACGCCAGUCUGCAUGGAGCCGGCCUUGAAAUACCACCCUUUAAUGUUUGAUGUUCUAACGUUGACCCGUGAUCCGGGUUGCGGACAGUGUCUGGUGGGUAGUUUGACUGGGGCGGUCUCCUCCUAAAGAGUAACGGAGGAGCACGAAGGUUGGCUAAUCCUGGUCGGACAUCAGGAGGUUAGUGCAAUGGCAUAAGCCAGCUUGACUGCGAGCGUGACGGCGCGAGCAGGUGCGAAAGCAGGUCAUAGUGAUCCGGUGGUUCUGAAUGGAAGGGCCAUCGCUCAACGGAUAAAAGGUACUCCGGGGAUAACAGGCUGAUACCGCCCAAGAGUUCAUAUCGACGGCGGUGUUUGGCACCUCGAUGUCGGCUCAUCACAUCCUGGGGCUGAAGUAGGUCCCAAGGGUAUGGCUGUUCGCCAUUUAAAGUGGUACGCGAGCUGGGUUUAGAACGUCGUGAGACAGUUCGGUCCCUAUCUGCCGUGGGCGCUGGAGAACUGAGGGGGGCUGCUCCUAGUACGAGAGGACCGGAGUGGACGCAUCACUGGUGUUCGGGUUGUCAUGCCAAUGGCACUGCCCGGUAGCUAAAUGCGGAAGAGAUAAGUGCUGAAAGCAUCUAAGCACGAAACUUGCCCCGAGAUGAGUUCUCCCUGACUCCUUGAGAGUCCUGAAGGAACGUUGAAGACGACGACGUUGAUAGGCCGGGUGUGUAAGCGCAGCGAUGCGUUGAGCUAACCGGUACUAAUGAACCGUGAGG
rnacentral:rRNA from 1 species